rnacentral:rRNA from 1 species
GUGGGGAUGACGUCAAGUCAUCAUGGCCCUUACGACCAGGGCUACACACGUGCUACAAUGGCGCAUACAAAGAGAAGCGACCUCGCGAGAGCAAGCGGACCUCAUAAAGUGCGUCGUAGUCCGGAUUGGAGUCUGCAACUCGACUCCAUGAAGUCGGAAUCGCUAGUAAUCGUGGAUCAGAAUGCCACGGUGAAUACGUUCCCGGGCCUUGUACACACCGCCCGUCACACCAUGGGAGUGGGUUGCAAAAGAAGUAGGUAGCUUAACCUUCGGGAGGGCGCUUACCACUUUGUGAUUCAUGACUGGGGUGAAGUCGUAACAAGGUAACCGUAGGGGAACCUGCGGUUGGAUCACCUCCUU